AUAAACACAACCACGUUCGAGCAGACAGAGGGGAGUGAGCGCUAAAGAGAAAGGUAGAAAGGGCGAUGUCCCUAUACCCUGGAAUUCUAUAUAAGGCAGGCGCUCUGACCUGGAAUGAGCCCAAGACUCACAGGGUCUUAAAUCACUUGCUGUGGUGACAUCUCUCACUCUCCUGUCAGCUCACUACUUUUGAAAGUCUCACAACACACUCAAGCCGACACAGACACACACACACACUCAAAAAGCAAUUCUGGCCCCGUGCUAGCACCCGCCAACCCUCUCUUCUGUCUCCUGCACCCCCACCUGUUGUUUUCUCUGCUCCCCCACCCUCCUCGCCCUUGACAGAAUGUCAGCAAGCCAUUAUAUGUUUUUAGCAGUAUAAUUUUCCCUUGGGAUAUUUAUAAGAAAAAAAAAAUGCCCUAUGCAUCCCCCCAAGAGGCAGUGUUUCCCACUGCCCAUAUCACAAUGACCGCAACUUAUAUAAAUCUGACUGGCAGGUGGGCAACUGACUGAGCAACCAUUGUGGGGCAAGAGCUGGAGCAAGAGACAGAAUGGCAGCCAUGGAGACGUUUGAAGCGGAUACCGCAGCGAGGCUGUGCGCUUACGGUCAUGUAUAAACAUAGCAUCUGUUGUGAGGCAGGGAGCGUGCACUGGUGCUGAAAUGAAGACGUCCGACUCAACAAGGAAAGAGACUAAAACCGACAGAGCAACAGAGAGCUGAGGGCCCUGGAGAAGUGCUCGUCCACAACGCUGCUGAUGUCUCCCUGGUAGUAGGUGAAGAGGACACAGCGAGAAGUCAGGAGCUAUGAUUUACUCACCGGUGACAUCAUGGAGACCACAGCUAUUUUUAUUGGCUGGUAAGCAGCCAGCUCUUUGCCAUGCUAUGCCACCUGUCCAAUCCACAGCAGUCAACAAGCCCCAGGGAAAAAAAAGUCAAGCACCCAAAAAUGAUUGAGAGAUGAAAGGUGGAAUAUGAUACAUGCAUGCCAUGCUACUGUCCUAGGCAUGUUUCACAAGUCAAAUGUCUUGUCACUGCUACUGGUUUGUCAUCCUUAUUUGCAUUUGUUCUUCGUUCACCGAAUUAAGUCAGCUAUAUUUCCCAUACUUCAACACUUAUCCGCAUUACUUCAUCUCUGGAAGAAUGGCUUUUAUGAUAGCCCUUGGAACAUCCCUGCCAUUGUCUGAGUUUUGUAUGUGAUCUAAUAAAAUACCACAUACUUGCUGAGAAAGGUGUGUAAGCAUCACCAUUUUAUUCUCCUUU